GUCGCACGAGCGCACCCCUGUCUUCAGUUUGCCAUCGGGUGAUGCCGGGCACUCUGGAGAGACUGCCCAGGAUAACGGGGAGGAAGGUGGGGAUGACGUCAAGUCAGCAUGGCCUUUAUGCCUGGGGCUACACACGUGCUACAAUGGCCGGUACAAAGGGUUGCAAUCCCGCAAGGGGGAGCCAAUCCCAAAAAACCGGCCUCAGUUCAGAUUGUGGUCUGCAACCCGACCACAUGAAGGUGGAAUCGCUAGUAAUCGCGGAUCAGCACGGCGCGGUGAAUACGUUCCCGGGUCUUGUACACACCGCCCGUCACGCCAUGGAAGUCAGCAAUACCCGAAGCCGGUGACCUAACCCGCCUUUUGGCGGGAAGGAACCGUCGAAGGUAAGGCUGGUAACUGGGGCGAAGUCGUAACAAGGUAGCCGUACCGGAAGGUGCGGCUGGAUCACCUCCUUU
rnacentral:rRNA from 1 species